GGGGGGGGGGCUCGAGAUGGGUUCUCUUAAACAAGAGGAAAUUGAGACUAGUAAGUAGUGUGUGGGUCACAGAACAGUACUAGAAGCCUUCAAGAACAGCCAUGAACCUGCGUACUGCGGGAUUAUUGUGCUGGAAGACAAGAGGACCGUGGGGGUCGUUCUAUUCUGAUCAUGUCCCACUACCUCUAGGAAGGUGGAACUCCUGGCUCGGGAUCUGCUUUAGGACGAUGACACUUCGAGGAAGGGAAGAAAGGUGUUUGGAGACCAUCAGGGUGGGCAUCCUUUCUAAUAAGGUCUCUGAAGAAAGAGGAUAUAGGUAGCCUCUGUCUCAUUACUGCUAUACAGGGGAUAGAUGGCAGGCUACUCUGGAGCAUGCUUUUGGGAUUUGUGGAUAUAUCAAGCACGGGCUGAGAACCACGGAUCUAGGGCCUGGCCCACUCCCGGGCCUGCUCCCUACCUGGUUCAUUCCUGAGCAUGCUCAAUUUCAGGCCAUGAUUUUAAAAGGAAAGGCAGUAGACACGUUUUGGGGUGUGCUUAGCUCAAGGUCAUGGUGCAUUUGUUUAAAAGGUUAAAGAGACGAAUGCUCAGGUUACUUCGAAAAGAUCUGGCUUGAAUUGUAUUAACUUUGGAGUUUGCCCAGGAGGGUGCCCGCCUCACUUAAGCAGUGAGCAUCUUUAGAGAUACUGGUCCUUGAGUGCACACGGCUGCCAGCAGCCUGGAGUCUGAACAUCCUUUCCACCAGCUGGAAGAGAAUCUGGCAGGAUUUGAACAUACGGGGAGAGGAGACAGCAUAGUCUGGACCGCAUGGCUUCUGAUCAACCCAGAUGUAUGUGCAUCACUCUCUGUGCCUCGGAUUCUGUAAUGGAGAGAAUGACUUACUGAUGGUGUAGGGACGCUGAGGAUGCGUGGAGGAGCUGUGGACCAUGGGUGAAUUACUAGCUUGCAAAGCCUCACUGGAAGACAUAUUCUCUUCUGGCCCGAAGCUCAGGCAGGAUCAUCUUUGACCAGAACUACUGAGGACAGGACCCAGAAUCUGCCAUCAGCCACCACCUCAUCCCCAUUUUGUCUGGAGCUCAGUGUGUGUGUGUGUGUGUGUGUGUGUGCCUACCAAAUACACAUGUGUUGUUCUGACCUCCAGUCAAGGCUGGCAGGGAUGCCCUAUAGAAAUCUGGCUCUACACAGCAUGGAUCAACAUGAGACCCUAACUAGCGGCUCCCAGUAGCCAUCGGGGAAGCCAUAUAACUUUCCAGGGUGCUGUUCGAAGACUUGACAUUAACCAACUAAUGUGAUCUCAUAGCAGUCUCAUGGGUCUGGAAUCCACUCUGCAAAAGAGAAGUCCCAGAAUGCCAAGUUACACAUCCAAGAAGUGGAGUCUGGCUCAGGAACACGUCUACCUAUGCCCUAUUCUCUAUAGCUUUGCUCUUCUCUCCAUCCAAAAUGCUCUCACACCUUGGCCCUCUGAGGGCCCUUCUCUAGCUCUGGUCUUUGUUAUUGAAGUACAGGGGUCAUCGGAAUGGGGUGAUGGCACCAGGCCAUCAAGGGAACAUCUCUGACUAAAAGGAAGGGUCCACCCAGGGUGGGCUUCUCCAAUCACAGCAGCAGUGGGUGUCAUCUCAGCC
rnacentral:lncRNA from 1 species